GACGAACGCUGGCGGCGUGCUUAACACAUGCAAGUCGAACGGUGAAGCGCCUUCCUUUUUGGUGGGUGUGGAUGAGUGGCGAACGGGUGAGUAACACGUGAGUAACCUGCCCCCUUCUUCUGGAUAACCGCAUGAAAGUGUGGCUAAUACGGGAUAUUCUGGGUCUGUCGCAUGAUGGGUCUGGGAAAGAUAUUGUUUCGGUGGGGGAUGGGCUCGCGGCCUAUCAGCUUGUUGGUGGGGUGAUGGCCUACCAAGGCGGUGACGGGUAGCCGGCCUGAGAGGGUGGACGGUCACACUGGGACUGAGACACGGCCAAGACUACUACGGGAGGCAGCAGUGGGGAAUAUUGCACAAUGGGCGCAAGCCUGAUGCAGCGACGCCGCGUGAGGGAUGGAGGCCUUCGGGUUGUGAACCUCUUUCGCCAGUGAAGCAGGCCUGCCUCGUUUGUGGGUGGGUUGACGGUAGCUGGAUAAGAAGCGCCGGCUAACUACGUG
rnacentral:rRNA from 1 species